rnacentral:rRNA from 1 species
GCUGACGACCGGCGGACGGGUGCGUAACGCGUAUACAAUCUACCUAUUACUAAAAGAUAGCCCAGAGAAAUUUGGAUUAAUAUUUUAUGGUAUUAUUGGAUGGCAUCAUUUGAUAAUUAAAGGUUACGGUAAUAGAUGAGUAUGCGUCCUAUUAGCUAGAUGGUAAGGUAACGGCUUACCAUGGCAACGAUAGGUAGGGGUCCUGAGAGGGAGAUCCCCCACACUGGUACUGAGACACGGACCAGACUCCUACGGGAGGCAGCAGUGAGGAAUAUUGGACAAUGGGAGCAAUCCUGAUCCAGCCAUGCCGCGUGCAGGAAGACUGCCCUAUGGGUUGUAAACUGCUUUUAUACAGGAAGAAAAAGGUGUACGUGUACACUGUUGACGGUACUGUAAGAAUAAGGAUCGGCUAACUCCGUGCCAGCAGCCGCGGUAAUACGGAGGAUCCAAGCGUUAUCCGGAAUCAUUGGGUUUAAAGGGUCCGUAGGCGGGAUAAUAAGUCAGUGGUGAAAGUCUGCAGCUCAACUGUAGAAUUGCCAUUGAUACUGUUGUUCUUGAGUUAUUGUGAAGUGGUUAGAAUGAGUAGUGUAGCGGUGAAAUGCAUAGAUAUUACUCAGAAUACCGAUUGCGAAGGCAGAUCACUAACAAUACACUGACGCUGAUGGACGAAAGCGUAGGUAGCGAACAGGAUUAGAUACCCUGGUAGUCUACGCCGUAAACGAUGGUUACUAGCUGUUC